GGGGGCGUAAAGGUUUCGACGGGGAUCGUGAGGUAUGGUAAGCGAGUAGUGGCGUUGGACCACUCUAAAACCGACAAACUAAACAAUAAACGACAACUCUAAAGUUGCUCUGGCGGCUUAAUUAAGCCGCCCGUCCUGCCCCGGAGUACCGCGACCGGGAGCGGGGCGUCGAUUAGCGGUGAACGUGAACGGAGGGGUGCCACCCCCUCCGGCACGGCAUAGUGGCUACCGUAACGCAUAGCCUGCCGACCGGCGAUGCGUGAGGGGAAUCCCAAAAGACCGGCUGCACUCGGAGAAAGCUGUAUCAAGUGGUUUUCGGACAGGGGUUCGAUUCCCCUCGCCUCCACCA
rnacentral:tmRNA from 1 species